rnacentral:lncRNA from 1 species
UCAGACAUGAAAUCAAUCCCAAACAACAGUACAGAUUGGUUAAUAUUCUAGAAAAGAAAUAUCAUAAUCCAACUCAUACCUGAAUGAUAUGCAAUCUGCAAAUAGGGUUUAAUCUGGUAAGUGGUGAUGAUGGCCAAUUUCACACGUCUCAGCACUGCAUUGGCAAAAUGUGAAAGACAAAUGAUCAAACCGGUGAAUAAUUGGUUGACCACUACGUACAUGGUGUUGUCUGGGAGAGGACACCUUGACUACUCAGUAACGAAGAUUUCUGGCUCUUUGUCUAGCAAAAGUAAACCCUAAAAUGAGUAAGUUUUGGCGGCAGCAAACAAGGAUUUAGCCGUGACAUAUGCCAUUUAUAUACCCACAAGCACUUUCUUCAUCAUCUUUAUAAAUAUCAUUUGCAUGUAUCAUUGCUCUUUUUUCAUGGUUUUACCACCUCCUCUUUCUCUAGAUGCCAAAAAGUCUAUAAAGAUUUUAAGGCAGUACUAAAAAGUGAAGGAGAAAAAAAAAAAAAAAAAAAAAGAAGAAGCAAUCAAUUGGAAAUCCUGAUAGGAACAGAACAAGAUAUUCACAGUCCAUAAAGGAGGAAUUGAGGAAGAUCAUAGAGAGAUAAUGAGACACAAAUAAUAACAUGCCAACCCAAAAAAAAAAGAAAGAAAAGAUUAUAUUACCAUUUUGUUCAUAGAUGAUAAACGUUCAACACGUAUAAUUUUUUAUGAUUUAUAUUUAGUUUAUAAUCGAAUAAAUUUUAAUCAUAUAUUCAAUUUGACAAUGAUAGACUUCUCUCCUUCUACUCGUUAAUUGAAAAAUUAAAAAAAUAUAUAUUUAAGUUAAAUUAAGUAUAAAAUUGACAUCAUAUUGUAAUAUUUUUUUAUUUUUGAUGAUUCGCUCAUUUAUAUUAUAUUUUUAUUCGUAUUCAUAGAAUAUAUAUUUGAACCAAACUCAAUCUUAAUACUUAUAGUAGAUACUAAUUUUUAAAUAAUAAUAUAAGAUUCUAAAAACAUGGAUUUACAAUUACGUUGAGUAUGAUUCAAAUUUCAAUUUCAAUAUGGAUGUGAGUCCAAUACAAAUGUUGUAGAAAUUUGAAUAAAAAGAAUAUUCUAAUUCCCAAAACAAUUCCAUGUCCAAUCCUCAAUUGACAAAUAAUGCAUAUAAAUCCAUCCUUGGGGAAAAACAUAUAAGUGGGAUUAAUGCAAUUAUGGAUUGUACAUCUUAAUUAUAACUAAUUUUUUUUUACACAUUUAACCAAACACAACCUAAUAUUGUAAGCUCAAAGUUAACUACACUACCUAAUUAAAGAUAAGGAAAAGAUAAUAAACUUGCACUUAAAAAAUUAAUUCUAGAACAAUAGUUCUUAAAAUCAUAACCAUACUGUUAUAUAACUUUUUUAAUAUUGGUGUUACGGGAGUGCUAGCUCAUAUACAAAAGAAUUUACAUAUCUAUCGAUCAAAGUGUUAAUAAGGUUUAAACCUACAUAUUCGUUAAAAAAAAAUCACUUAGAAACUAAUACGUAUGCGUGGCAAUUGAGGAUUUGUAAACUGGGUUCGAAUCUACAUGUAUAAGUGGCAAUUGAGGAUUUGAGAAUUGGGUGUUGGUGAAAACAAAACUUCAAAACAGAAAUAUCACAUCAUUGAUAACUUGCUACUUUGUUAACAUUUAGUUAAAACACAUCAUAUUGCAUUGACUUCAAAUAAUCUCAUGAUGACAAUAAUUUAAAUGAGAACUAACAAUGGUGCAUUAAAUUAGUUAAUGAGAUAAGUAUAAUGGAAUUAAGCACUUCUUGUAUUGGAGAAUAAGAGAAACGCAUUAAUGACAUAAAGAUUAGGGCAUCAUGCAUCAGUGUAGUAGCAAUUAGAAACUAUUCCUCUUUCUUUCACAACUUGCUCAUAUUAUAUUAUUUCAGUACUCAGAGAAAUAAAUAAGUGAAAAGGGAAACAAAAAAAAAGAAAGAAAGAAUCUUUUGUACCUUUUGAAUGCUUUUUUCUUACUGUUGGUAGUCCAAAGUUUUGCUUUGUU